rnacentral:rRNA from 1 species
GACGAACGCUGGCGGCGUGCUUAACACAUGCAAGUCGAACGGAAAGGCCCUGCUUUUGUGGGGUGCUCGAGUGGCGAACGGGUGAGUAACACGUGAGUAACCUGCCCUUGAUUUUGGGAUAACUUCAGGAAACUGGGGCUAAUACCGGAUAGGAGCUCCUGCUGCAUGGUGGGGGUUGGAAAGUUUCGGCGGUUGGGGAUGGACUCGCGGCUUAUCAGCUUGUUGGUGGGGUAGUGGCUUACCAAGGCUUUGACGGGUAGCCGGCCUGAGAGGGUGACCGGCCACAUUGGGACUGAGAUACGGCCCAGACUCCUACGGGAGGCAGCAGUGGGGAAUAUUGCACAAUGGGCGGAAGCCUGAUGUAGCAACGCCGCGUUCGGGAUGACGGCCUUCGGGUUGUAAACCGCUUUCGCCUGUGACGAAGCGUGAGUGACGGUAAUGGGUAAAGAAGCACCGGCUAACUACGUG